UUGGCACCCCCUCUACUUCUAUAAAUAGGGGGCAGUAGAUAGGGUUGGUCAUUCAGUUCCUACAACCCUAUCCACUCCCUCUCUCCCUUUUUUACAACCUUAGGUUUUAGAAUAAGGUUUGUUCUUUUAUGAUAAACCUAUUCCUAAUAGCUCUAAAGGUUUAAAAGAUCUUAAAGAAGGAGAUCAAGGCUAGAAGGAGAUUCUGAAAGAUCCAAACUCAAGUCUGGAGGAGGGUCUGAUCAGUUGAUGGCU
rnacentral:lncRNA from 1 species